rnacentral:rRNA from 1 species
AGCGAACGCUGGCGGCAGGCCUAACACAUGCAAGUCGAACGGACCCUUCGGGGUUAGUGGCGGACGGGUGAGUAACACGUGGGAACGUGCCUUAGGUUCGGAAUAGCUCCUGGAAACGGGUGGUAAUGCCGAAUGUGCCCUUCGGGGGAAAGAUUUAUCGCCUUUAGAGCGGCCCGCGUCUGAUUAGCUAGUUGGUGAGGUAAUGGCUCACCAAGGCGACGAUCAGUAGCUGGUCUGAGAGGAUGACCAGCCACAUUGGGACUGAGACACGGCCCAAACGCCUACGGGAGGCAGCAGUGGGGAAUCUUGCGCAAUUGGCGAAAGCCUGACGCAGCCAUGCCGCGUGGAUGAUGAAGGUCUUAGGAUUGUAAAAUCCUUUCACCGGUGAAGAUAAUGACUGUAGCCGGAGAAGAAGCCCCGGCUAACUUCGUGCCAGCCGCCGCCGUAA